UUCCAGCUCCAAUAGCGUAUAUUAAAGUUGUUGCAGUUAAAAAGCUCGUAGUUGAAUUUCGGGGUUAGUAGGUUGGUCAUGCCUCUGGUAUGUACUGAUCUCACUGAUUCCUCUUUCCUUAUGAACCGUAAUGCCAUUAAUUUGGUGUUGCGGGGAAUUUGGACUGUUACUUUGAAAAAAUUAGAGUGUUUAAAGCAGGCUAACGCUUGAAUACAUUAGCAUGGAAUAAUGAAAUAGGACGUUCGAUCUUAUUUUGUUGGUUUCUAGGAUUGACGUAAUGAUUAAUAGGGAUAGUUGGGGGCAUUAGUAUUCAAUUGUCAGAGGUGAAAUUCUUGGAUUUAUUGAAGACUAACUACUGCGAAAGCAUUUGCCAAGGAUGUUUUCAUUAAUCAAGAACGAAAGUUAGGGGAUCGAAGACGAUCAGAUACCGUCGUAGUCUUAACCAUAAACUAUGCCGACUAGGGAUCGG
rnacentral:rRNA from 1 species